rnacentral:misc_RNA from 1 species
AAGUCGUAACAAGGUUUCCGUAGGUGAACCUGCGGAAGGAUCAUUAAUGAAAUAACCAUGGCGUUGGUUGUAGCUGGCUCCUAGGAGCAUGUGCACACCCGUCAUUCUUAUCUUUCCACCUGUGCACUUAAUGUAGGUCUGGAUAACUCUCGCUCAUACCGAGCGGAUGCAGGGAUUGCCGUGUCGAAAGACCGGCUCUCUUUGAAUUUCCAGGUCUAUGUACCUUUACAAACUCCAAUUGUAUGAUAAUGAAUGUAGUCAAUGGGCUUUCAAGCCUAUAAAACAAAAUACAACUUUCAGCAACGGAUCUCUUGGCUCUC